GGUGGCUCAGUGAUAGAGUGCUUGCCUUGCAUGCAUGAAGCCCUGGGUUCGAUUCCUCAGCACCA
rfam:Dipodomys ordii contig_51789, whole genome shotgun sequence.